rnacentral:rRNA from 1 species
AGUGAACGCUGGCGGCGUGCCUAAUACAUGCAAGUCGAACGGAGUGGCGCACGGGUGAGUAAUGUAUAGCUAAUCUGCCCUACACUAGAGGACAACAGUUGGAAACGACUGCUAAUACUCUAUAGUGUAGGAUGAGGCUAUAUUGUAUCAGCUAGGUGGUGAGGUAAUGGCUCACCAAGGCGAUGACGCAUAACUGGUCUGAGAGGAUGAUCAGUCACACUGGAACUGAGGCACGGUCCAGACUCCUUCGGGAGGGAGCAGUAGGGUAUAGUGCUCAAUGCGGGUAACCCUGAAGCAGCUUCGCCGCGUGGAGUAUGACAAUUUUCGGAGCGUAAACUCUUUUUGUUAGGGAAGCGGUACCUAACGAAUAAGCACCGGCUAACUCCGUGCCAGCCGCCGCGGUAAUAC